rnacentral:rRNA from 1 species
AGGUUUUCGGAUCGUAAAACUCGUGUUGUUAGGGAAGAACAAGUACCGUUCGAAUAGGGCGGUACCUUGACGGUACCUAACCAGAAAGCCACGGCUAACUACGUGCCAGCAGCCGCGGUAAUACGUAGGUGGCAAGCGUUGUCCGGAAUUAUUGGGCGUAAAGCGCGCGCAGGCGGUUUCUUAAGUCUGAUGUGAAAAGCCCCCCGGCUCAACCGGGGAGGGUCAUUGGAAAACUGGGGAACUUGAGUGCAGAAGAGGAGAGUGGAAUUCCACGUGUAGCGGUGAAAUGCGUAGAGAUGUGGAGGAACACCAGUGGCGAAGGCGACUCUCUGGUCUGUAACUGACGCUGAGGCGCGAAAGCGUGGGGAGCGAACAGGAUUAGAUACCCUGGUAGUCCACGCCGUAAACGAUGAGUGCUAAGUGUUAGAGGGUUUCCGCCCUUUAGUGCUGCAGCAAACGCAUUAAGCACUCCGCCUGGGGAGUACGGUCGCAAGACUGAAACUCAAAGGAAUUGACGGGGGCCCGCACAAGCGGUGGAGCAUGUGGUUUAAUUCGAAGCAACGCGAAGAACCUUACCAGGUCUUGACAUCCUCUGACAACCCUAGAGAUAGGGCUUCCCCUUCGGGGGCAGAGUGACAGGUGGUGCAUGGUUGUCGUCAGCUCGUGUCGUGAGAUGUUGGGUUAAGUCCCGCAACGAGCGCAACCCUUUGAUCUUUAGUUGCCAGCAUUCAGUUGGGCACUCUAAGGUGACUGCCGGGUGACAAACCGGAGGAAGGGUGGGGGAUGACGUCAAAUCAUCAUGCCCUCUUUAUGACGCUGGGCUACACACGUGCUACAAUGGGCAGAACAAAGGGCAGCGAAGCCGCGAGGCUAAGCCAAUCCCACAAAUCUGUUCUCAGUUCGGAUACGCAGUCUGCAACUCGACUGCGUGAAGCUGGAAUCGCUAGUA